UCCCUCUCAGGGUCACACCUGGAGAGUUCCCAGUACUCUACCAGUCUCGACUACAAGAGGGAGGGCCAGGCAGAGGUCUAUCCAUUCCAUUCCUUGCUUGGGUAGUGGCUAGCGAGUGGAAGGCCAUCUCCUACAAGU
rfam:Ornithorhynchus anatinus chromosome 2, whole genome shotgun sequence.